AUUGAACGCUGGCGGCAUGCUUUACACAUGCAAGUCGAACGGCAGCACGGGCUUCGGCCUGGUGGCGAGUGGCGAACGGGUGAGUAAUGCAUCGGAACGUACCGUGUAGUGGGGGAUAACGUAGCGAAAGUUACGCUAAUACCGCAUACGCCCCGAGGGGGAAAGUGGGGGACCGCAAGGCCUCACGCUAUAUGAGCGGCCGAUGUCGGAUUAGCUAGUUGGUAGGGUAAAGGCCUACCAAGGCGACGAUCCGUAGCGGGUCUGAGAGGAUGAUCCGCCACACUGGGACUGAGACACGGCCCAGACUCCUACGGGAGGCAGCAGUGGGGAAUUUUGGACAAUGGGCGCAAGCCUGAUCCAGCCAUGCCGCGUGAGUGAAGAAGGCCUUCGGGUUGUAAAGCUCUUUCAGACGGAAAGAAAUCUCCCAGGAUAAUACCUUGGGAGGAUGACGGUACCGUAAGAAGAAGCACCGGCUAACUACGUGCCAGCAGCCGCGGUAAGAC
rnacentral:rRNA from 1 species